UUCAGUUAAGACAGCUCACGCAUGCAUUUUAGUCUGGGACUAGCCUUAAGCCUGGUCUGUGAAACCGGGUAUAUAAUAGACAUUAUUUACUUCACUACAACUGUUAAACCUUCAAAUGUCAAUGAUUUUUACCAUCUUUUGCAUCAUUGCUUUUUCUGAUAAUUGUCUUUCCAGUUUGUCUAGUUCCUCCAUGGUUGUGAGAGGAAAGACAUCAUCCUCUCUGUCCACCAGCAGCACUGGAGCACUGGAACGACUGUUAGCUGCAAGAGACUGGACCACUGGAGUCAGAUGAUUGAUCUUCAUGUCCAGUUCGUUAAGUGCCUCCAGAAUUGUCCUCUCAACAGCUGCAACACAUUAGAUGGGUGUUCACCCCAAGCAUCCUCUUGCUCAUUUUCAUUGGACAAGCUCACUGGAACAGCUGGAGUUAAGAAAGGUGAAGCUGGUGAGUGUUCACCCCAAGCAUCUUGAGGCUCAUCUGCCUGGGAGAAGCUCAUGGGAACAUCUGAAGCUGAGAAUGAUGGAACUGG